UUUCAAGCAUGAUUUGCUUGUUUCAAGCCCUGGCACAAGAUCUCAAUUGGGAGGUUCUUAAUGUGGAAAGCAGUGUUUGGUUUUUGCCAGGCAUAAUGGGACCCAUGUCACCCCAAAAGUUAUACUUUUGAUAUCUCUGUCCAUAAAACAUUCUUCCAAAAGUCUUGAUGAUCUUCCAGGUGCUUUUUGGUGAACUUGAUUCAACUUUUGGACGACAUGGGUUCCAUUAUGCCAUAGAGGAAACCAGAAAGCGGACAAAUACUUUUUCACGGCACUGUAGAUGUCACACAACCUCCUGAAAUGUGUUAAGCCUGUCAUGCCUGCUCCCGCUCCCCCUCCCUGGUGCUCAAAGGUUCCAUGCUCCCCAGCAUUACUCACUCCUGCCUUUCCCCCGUCACGUGCAUCAGCAAUUAUUGGACUCACCUGGACUCAAUCACCUGUUUAUUACCUCCCCUAUAAUUGUCAGUUCCCCAGCUCCUUUCCCAACUGCUGUAUUAAUGUUUGUAUGUUGUUGUUACCCGUGUGCUGAUGCUGUUUCUGUCUUGGUACCUGUCUGUUCUGCAUUAAAUGUUCAACUCCCUGUAACUUCUUCUCAUCUCUGGUCCUUUCAAAGCCAUCAAAUACCAAUCUCCAAUUACCAUUUUUCUUCUGAACCGUACUAAUUAGUCAUUGACCCAUUAUGUUUCCAGAAAAUCCAGCUUCCCAUGUCAUGAUCUGCUCUAUUUCCAGGGUGUGGUGGUGAGCCAGACGACAGCUCCCACGAUGGCUCCUGCUGUGAUGAACACCACAUUCAUUGAGAAUGUGACGGCAACCACCAGAGUCAGUGAGACCACCACAGUCAGUGAGAAUGUGACCUUGACCACACCCAUGAUCCUCAGCACCACAUCUCCAGGCUGCUCUGCCCUCAACACCUCCAUCUGUGAGACCUGUGUCCCAGGGUCCUACUCUGACAAUGACACCCUGCUGUGUUCCUGUUGCCAUGAGCCAGGGCUGUGUCUGUUCGCUGGGGCUUGCCUCCCAUGUUCGAGAGGGUUCUUUCAGCCUCUGGCUGGACAACAGCGAUGUCAGCCCUGCAGCCAGGGUUUUUACACCAAUUUUACCGGCAGCCUUAUGUGUCAGUCCUGCUCCCCAGGCUCCUACAGCAACAACACAGGCUCCGACUCCUGCCGAAGCUGUUCUCCAGGUUUCUAUACAUCACAACAAAAUGCCACAUCGUGCAGUCCAUGUCAACAGGGAACGUUCUGCAACUCCUCCAGUUGUGCUCUGUGUCAGAUCUGUCCUGCUGGUACAGAGUCUCUGCAGCCAGCUGCCAAGGAGUGCACACCUUGUCGUCCAGGUAUGCACAAGGCUCCCCGUCAGAGUAUGUGUCAAAUCUGCAGCAGCGGCUUCUUCCAGAUCCGCUGGGGCCAGGAGACCUGUAACCUCUGCCCUGAAAACCACUACUGCCCAAGUCCAGAUGUGAACCCCAUCCUGUGCCCCGGUGAUGCUUUCUGUCCUGAAGGCAGCACUGCUCCAGGUUACUGCAUGGAGACCUUCUUUCGCAAGGCAGGGGAGGAGUGUGAGCUGGCCCCCGUCACCAUUGCUCUACUUGUCAUCGGAGGAGGAGUGGCCCUACUCUUCGUCAUCCUGCUGGUGUUGCGUCGAAGGCGAGACACAGACGGAGAGCUUUCCCUCGUACGACAACCUCUGUUACGCAAAGAGCGGCCGCAAGGUCGAUACUACGGGAUCCCAUGUGAUGCCGAGCCAGUAUACGCUGGUUGGUGA
rnacentral:lncRNA from 1 species